rnacentral:rRNA from 1 species
GAGUUUGAUCAUGGCUCAGGAUGAACGCUAGCGGCAGGCCUAACACAUGCAAGUCGAGGGGUAACAUAGAGUGCUUGCACUCUGAUGACGACCGGCGCACGGGUGAGUAACGCGUAUACAAUCUGCCUCAUACUAGGGGAUAGCCCAGAGAAAUUUGGAUUAAUACCCUAUAGUAUCUUUUAGAGUCAUCUCUUAAAGAUUAAAGGUUACGGUAUGAGAUGAGUAUGCGUUCUAUUAGUUAGUAGGUGAGGUAACGGCUCACCUAGACCACGAUAGAUAGGGGCCCUGAGAGGGGGAUCCCCCACACUGGUACUGAGACACGGACCAGACUCCUACGGGAGGCAGCAGUGAGGAAUAUUAGACAAUGGGCGAAAGCCUGAUCUAGCCAUGCCGCGUGCAGGAUGACGGCCCUAUGGGUUGUAAACUGCUUUUAUACAGGAAGAAAAAACUCUACGUGUAGAGUCUUGACGGUACUGUAAGAAUAAGGAUCGGCUAACUCCGUGCCAGCAGCCGCGGUAAUACGGAGGAUCCAAGCGUUAUCCGGAAUUAUUGGGUUUAAAGGGUCCGUAGGUGGACAAUUAAGUCAGAGGUGAAAUCCUGCAGCUCAACUGUAGAAUUGCCUUUGAAACUGGUUGUCUUGAGUCAUUAUGAAGUGGUUAGAAUGUGUAGUGUAGCGGUGAAAUGCAUAGAUAUUACACAGAAUACCAAUUGCGAAGGCAGAUCACUAAUAAUGUACUGACACUGAUGGACGAAAGCGUGGGUAGCGAACAGGAUUAGAUACCCUGGUAGUCCACGCCGUAAACGAUGGUCACUAGCUGUUCGGACUUCGGUCUGAGUGGCUAAGCGAAAGUGAUAAGUGACCC